rnacentral:rRNA from 1 species
AUUGAACGCUGGCGGCAUGCUUUACACAUGCAAGUCGAACGGCAGCGCGGGCUUCGGCCUGGCGGCGAGUGGCGAACGGGUGAGUAAUACAUCGGAACGUGCCCAGUAGUGGGGGAUAGCUCGGCGAAAGCCGGAUUAAUACCGCAUACGACCUGAGGGUGAAAGCGGGGGAUCUUCGGACCUCGCGCUAUUGGAGCGGCCGAUGGCAGAUUAGCUAGUUGGUGGGGUAAGGGCCUACCAAGGCGACGAUCUGUAGCUGGUCUGAGAGGACGACCAGCCACACUGGGACUGAGACACGGCCCAGACUCCUACGGGAGGCAGCAGUGGGGAAUUUUGGACAAUGGGCGAAAGCCUGAUCCAGCAAUGCCGCGUGUGUGAUGAAGGCCUUCGGGUUGUAAAGCACUUUUGGCGGGAACGAAAAGGACUGUGCCAAUACCACGGUUCGAUGACGGUACCCGCAGAAUAAGCACCGGCUAACUACGU